rnacentral:rRNA from 1 species
UACGAAGGGGGCUAGCGUUGCUCGGAAUGACUGGGCGUAAAGGGCGCGUAGGCGGUUUGUACAGUCAGGUGUGAAAUUCCCGGGCUCAACCUGGGGGCUGCACUUGAUACGUAGGAACUUGAGUGGGGAAGAGGGUCGUGGAAUUCCCAGUGUAGAGGUGAAAUUCGUAGAUAUCGGGAGGAACACCGGUGGCGAAGGCGGCGAUCUGGGUGGAUACUGACGCUGAGGAGCGAAAGCGUGGGGAGCGAACAGG